rnacentral:tRNA from 1 species
GGGCCCUACACCCACGGCGUCGCCUAGCUCGACAAGCUGGGGGUCGCUGGUUCGAGCCCAGCACGGCCCA